CAGCCGCCGCGGUAAUACGUAGGUGGCAAGCGUUGUCCGGAAUUAUUGGGCGUAAAGCGCGCGCAGGCGGUUCCUUAAGUCUGAUGUGAAAGCCCACGGCUCAACCGUGGAGGGUCAUUGGAAACUGGGGGACUUGAGUGCAGAAGAGGAGAGCGGAAUUCCACGUGUAGCGGUGAAAUGCGUAGAGAUGUGGAGGAACACCAGUGGCGAAGGCGGCUCUCUGGUCUGUAACUGACGCUGAGGCGCGAAAGCGUGGGGAGCAAACAGGAUUAGAUACCCUGGUAGUCCACGCCGUAAACGAUGAGUGCUAAGUGUUAGAGGGUAUCCACCCUUUAGUGCUGUAGCUAACGCAUUAAGCACUCCGCCUGGGGAGUACGGCCGCAAGGCUGAAACUUAAAGGAAUUGGCGGG
rnacentral:rRNA from 1 species